AACGAACGCUGGCGGCAUGCCUAACACAUGCAAGUCGAACGGGAUCUUGACUUCGGUCAGGUGAGAGUGGCGGACGGGUGAGUAACACGUGGGAACCUGCCUUUUGGUUCGGGAUAACCGCGGGAAACUGCGGCUAAUACCGGAUACUCCCGAGAGGGGAAAGAUUUAUCGCCAGAAGAGGGGCCCGCGUCCGAUUAGGUAGUUGGUGGGGUAAUGGCCUACCAAGCCGACGAUCGGUAGCUGGUCUGAGAGGAUGAUCAGCCACACUGGGACUGAGAUACGGCCCAGACUCCUACGGGAGGCAGCAGUGGGGAAUAUUGGACAAUGGGGGGCAACCCUGAUCCAGCAAUGCCGCGUGAGUGAUGAAGGCCUUAGGGUUGUAAAGCUCUUUUGCCAGGGAAGAUGAUGACUGUACCUGGAGAAUAAGCCCCGGCUAACUUCGUGCCAGCAGCCG
rnacentral:rRNA from 1 species